rnacentral:rRNA from 1 species
AACGCUAGCUACAGGCUUAACACAUGCAAGUCGAGGGGCAGCAUGGUCUUAGCUUGCUAAGGCUGAUGGCGACCGGCGCACGGGUGAGUAACACGUAUCCAACCUGCCGUCUACUCUUGGACAGCCUUCUGAAAGGAAGAUUAAUACAAGAUGGCAUCAUGAGUCCGCAUGUUCACAUGAUUAAAGGUAUUCCGGUAGACGAUGGGGAUGCGUUCCAUUAGAUAGUAGGCGGGGUAACGGCCCACCUAGUCUUCGAUGGAUAGGGGUUCUGAGAGGAAGGUCCCCCACAUUGGAACUGAGACACGGUCCAAACUCCUACGGGAGGCAGCAGUGAGGAAUAUUGGUCAAUGGGCGAGAGCCUGAACCAGCCAAGUAGCGUGAAGGAUGACUGCCCUAUGGGUUGUAAACUUCUUUUAUAAAGGAAUAAAGUCGGGUAUGGAUACCCGUUUGCAUGUACUUUAUGAAUAAGGAUCGGCUAACUCCGUGCCAGCAGCCGCGGUAAUACGGAGGAUCCGAGCGUUAUCCGGAUUUAUUGGGUUUAAAGGGAGCGUAGAUGGAUGUUUAAGUCAGUUGUGAAAGUUUGCGGCUCAACCGUAAAAUUGCAGUUGAUACUGGAUAUCUUGAGUGCAGUUGAGGCAGGCGGAAUUCGUGGUGUAGCGGUGAAAUGCUUAGAUAUCACGAAGAACUCCGAUUG